rnacentral:misc_RNA from 1 species
CAACCCUCAGGCCCUGGCCGGCCUGGUGUUGGGGCGUCUGCGGUUGACCGCAGGCCCUGAAAGAUAGUGGCGGUGUCCGCUAGCACUCCGGGCGCAGUAGGUCUCUUUCUCGCCCAGGACGUCUUGCGGGCUGCCGGCCGUAAAACACCCAUUUUCUUUGGAAGG